UAUAAUUCUUAUUAUCUAUAUUUUUAAAUUAAAAAUAAUACAAUUUAAUUACACUCAAAUUUAUAUAUUUUUUAUUAUUGUAAUAACAAUAGUGCUAACGAGGUUUAAGUUUAGCAGUAUGCUAACCUAGCUAGCUCAGCUUAGCUAUAUGUCUAUAUCACAACUCUCUAUAGUAGUCACGUGUAGUAAAUAUCCAUCAGCGGAUAAUUUGUGAAAGUAAUUCAGUCAAGUGAUUUCAAUGAAAUUUUGGGUCAUUUGGCUCUGCCCUUCAGAUCAUUGUGCCCAGUCUUAAAAGAGUAUAAGUAUGUACGAGUGCUUCAAAGUGUGAGACGGUGCUUGCUGUUGUCGGUCGCCAGAAUAACCAAAACCUCUCAACCUCAACACCGUUUGGUCUCUUACUUCUCUUAUCCCAAGACGUUUGACGGGAGACGUGGCUAAGAUUAUUAACUGUAGGACCCAUAUGAAACUUGGCAAGAGAAACUAGACUGGUCUUCGCCUGAUCGGAAGCUGUCUAUACUGUCCAUCGUAUAUCUAAAGAACAACAUAAACUACAUUUGAAGUCUCUGUCUGUCUGUCAGAGAAUCAAAAAGCAACGGCCAAGACUUGGGUGAGAGGAAGGGGCCCUGACGGGCAGUUUUUACCCAGGAUGGGUGCACAAGACGAUAUUUUACCCAAAUUGGUGCUGUAUCAUAUGGAUGCCUUCAAAAAUAAAUUUAAGGCUUAAUAUCUCUUCUGGUCCCUGCACUAUAGCUAAAUUCUUACUUUAGUACGCAUACUAUUUUUUAUCAGUUUGGCCUCUGUAUUCUAUUUUGGUUAUCAGUUUAGCCCUUGUACUUUAUUUCGUAUACCCGUUACCCAUCUAUAUAUUUUCUGUUAAAAAAAUUAAA